rnacentral:rRNA from 1 species
GACGAACGCUGGCGGCGUGCUUAACACAUGCAAGUCGAACGAAGUGGCGAACGGGUGAGUAACGCGUAAUCAACCUGCCCUUCAGAGGGGGACAACAGUUGGAAACGACUGCUAAUACCGAAUACGGAGGGAGGGGGUUGCGUCUGAUUAGAUAGUGGGAGGGUGAACGGCCCACCAAGGCUAUGAUCAGUAGCCGGUCUGAGAGGAUGAACGGCAAAAAUGGGAAUGGGAAACGGCCCAGACUCCUACGGGAGGCAGCAGUGGGGAAUCUUCCGCAAUGGACGAAAGUCUGACGGAGCAACGCCGCGUGAGUGAUGACGGCCUUCGGGUUGUAAAGCUCUGUUAAUCGGGACGCGGUACCGGAAUAGAAAGCCACGGCUAACUACGUGCCAGCAGCCGCGGUAAUAC